AAACUUUCAACAACGGAUCUCUUGGUUCUCGCAUCGAUGAAGAACGCAGCGAAAUGCGAUACGUAGUAUGAAUUGCAGAUAUUCGUGAAUCAUCGAAUCUUUGAACGCACAUUGCGCCCUUUGGUAUUCCAAAGGGCAUGCCUGUUUGAGCGUCAUUU
rnacentral:rRNA from 1 species